rnacentral:piRNA from 1 species
AAGAUAGCCUGGACGUCUUGUAUG